rnacentral:rRNA from 1 species
AUGCGGCUUCAUAAGUGUGCUGGAGCCACGGGCGUUGCGACGAGGGUGCGGGUGGAGCACGGCCAUCCGUUGAUAGGAGGAAGCUGGGGGAGGGGUGACGCAAGCCACUUGUGGGAGAUGGAUGUAGAAGAGGAGGAGCAGCGCUGGAUGGCAGUGGCGGAGCGUGGCAAGCAAUCAAGGGGGGGGGGCAAAUUUUCAACUCAAAGCAAAUUUCUAAUUCAAAAUAGCCUAGAAGUAAAAUUACACUGUAAUCGAACAUAUCUUGCUCCUUCCAUCCUUUGGCAGCUUGGCUCAUCAACGGUCGUCAGCUCAUCGUCUUGGCAAUUGCGCGCAUAG